rnacentral:rRNA from 1 species
GAUGAACGCUGGCGGCGUGCCUAAUACAUGCAAGUCGAGCGAGCGGACGAGAAGCUUUCUUCUCUGAUUGUAGCGGCGGACGGGGGGUUAAAACGGGGAUAACCGACCUAUAAGACUGGGAUAACUUCUGGAAACCGGGGCUAUACCCGGAUAGUAUGUUGAACCGCAUGGUUCAAAAGUGGAAGGCUGUCUUGCUGUCACUUAUAGUGGGAUCCGCGCUGCAUUAGCUAGUUGGUAAGGUAACUGCUUACCAAGGCAACGAUGCAUAGCCGACCUGAGAGGGAGAGCGGGCACACUGGCACUGAGAGACGGUCCAGACUCCUACGGGAGGCAGCCGUAGGGAAUCUUCCUCAAUGGGCGGAAGCCUGACGGAGCAACGCCGCGUGCGUGAUGAAGGUCUUCGGAUCGUAAAACUACGUCUUUCGCGAAGAACAUAUGUGCAAGUAGCUGCGCCCAUCUUGACGGUACCUAAUCAGAAAGCCACGGCUAACUACGUG